CACAGCACUUCAGACAAGGAGAGAGCAGGAGCCCUGAGAACGAGGAGGUGGAGGAGCUCGAGGGGGAAUUAACUAGGUUCCAAAAUAGCACAGUUGGUUUUGCCUUGCUUCACCCGGCACAGCGUCUGGCUGCUUCUGCUUUCAGUCUGACUCAGACAUGGUGGGGGCAGGAGAGGGUGGCCGGUAUGGACUGAGGCCACUGGACGACCACAAGCAGUGAUCCAGAACCCUCAGCUGAGGGGCUCUUCUUCCCCAACUCCACGCCCUCUCCUGCCCUACCCCAAGAUACAGUUGGCUCCAGGGAAGAGAACCUGAAGGCUCCCUGGCUGAGGGGGCUAUCCCAGCCUAGCCCACCUGGGUGUCUCCAGGGACGUCAGCUGCCUGACGCAGAGCUCAGCCGUGUACCUAGGGCCUCUCUACCCACCAGCCAAGGGAGCCAGAGGACACUAGCCUGAGGUGACAGCACUUUUCAAGUCAGCAUCCCAGUGCUGACCAGCCACCUGCAGCCACCUCCCCGGGGCCACGCGCAGGUAUGAGAAAAACGUGGAAGCCUUUUUGCUCCCAUUUCUACCUCUGGACUCUGAGCUGCUCCAUUUCCCUCCCAGGGGUUGUCACUCCGGCAGCAGGUUCCCCACAUAUGCAAGAAGCUUGAACCCAAACGUGAGGGUGAACCAGAAAACCACCCCCAGCACAAGCCCACCUUAUAGCUCCUGAGCAAACGCUCUCUGCCCCUGGCCAGCUCACCUGGGCCUGGAGCCAGCACGGCCACCUUUCUAUACAGUGGGUAAGGUGGACCUGGGGAGGAGACACUCCUAGUAAGCAGGGAGACUCAGAGGUGAGGUGGGUGGCCAACAGGGGCAGACGUGUGCCUGACACAACCACCAAGACACCCAACUGUGACCGAACGUCAAAAGAGAAGAACUACAAGUGACAGCUAGGAAGAAAAGUAAAGCCCUAAGAAUCCAUAUGCUGCACCUGUCCAGUGGAGAUGUGUGACCCCUGCCCCAGCCCUGCCCCAGCCCUGCCCCAGCCCUGCCCCAGCCCUGCCCCAGCCCUGCCCCAGCCCUGCCCCAGCCCUGCCCCAGCCCUGCCCCAGCCCUGCCCCAGGUAAAUUCUGCCCUUGCCAGCUUCAGGCUGGGGGCUUUCUUACCCAGCAUCUCAUGCAGCCACACUGGCCUCAAACUCACUACAGAGGUGAAGAUGACCUUAUCUUCUGACCUUCUGCCUCCGCAUCCCAAGUACUUGGAUUACAGACUUGAGCCACUAAGCUUGGUUUCGCAUGGGUCUGAAAAUCAAACCCUGAGUUCCAUGUGCACUGGACAAGCACUCCACCGACUGAGUCAUAACCUACCUACCACUCCCUCUUUUUGACUCUCUCUCCCUACCUAGGUAGGCUCCCCACUAGGUAGAGCCCCACAGCAUGAGGUCAGCAGGGCUGGGGUAGGAGUGGAAUCAGAGGUUGGCCCCUCUCAGAGCAGACUCCACAGAUCCUUCACCAGGAAGAAACAGGGGCGACUUUGCAAAACUAACUCCCACACACACCACGUGCCACAAAUUGCGUCUUAUUUAGAAGGGCACACAAAGAGAAGGACACCAGAAGACUUGACUCCCUGCUAUAGUGACUAACUGACUGUCACGGGGUAGCCAUGGGCCUGGAGAAAAGGCAGGGGCAGCAAAAGAAAAGGAAGGAAUAAUGACAGCUGUGACAGCCUUGGGAAGUUGAAGGGGACUCUUAGCAGGGUGUGGUGGCACAGGCCUAAAAUCCCAGAACACCGAAGGUGAGCUCCAGGGCAGCUAGAGCUACAUCGAGAGACCCAGUCUCAACAAACAAAAUAAUAAUCAUGUUUUCCACUUCUGAGGGGGACUGUUGGUUCAGGCUAUGUGCCACCCAGCAGGUCACAAACCUUUGUAGAUGAAAACGUAGCACUCUGGGGGCUCAGUGUUGGGAAUGCAGUAAACACAUAUUCGUACACCAAGGAAGAGAUCCUGCCAGCUUCCUCUUUCAGUUAAUGGGACCUUGUAGAUUCUCUACGUCUGUUGAACGUAGACUGUGCCAUGGAGCCUAGGGGAAGGGGCUGCCUUGGACACAGACCAAAGGGAGUUGUAGAAAGAGGGCUAGGCUGACCACCGGGCUGGGUUUGGUGAACCCAGAAGAAGCUGCUAAGGGUCCAGCCACAUCCUCUGGCCCACAUCUCUGCCACAAGCAGUCCACCUAAGCACUACCAUAUGCAGCCAGAGGUGAUGGCGAUUAGCUUCCUGCCCCAGUGACCCACUAUGGACCCCAGCCAAAACCCUCCCUGGAUAACCUCAAAGCAUGAUCUAAGACCCUCCCCCAUGAGAGAGAGAGAGAGAGACAAUAGCACACCUUUACAAUUUACAUUUUAUCUGAUUCCUGCCCUUCCAGAGCCCUGGACCCUACUUUCCCAGGUAGUCCUCGGGAAACCUUCCAAAUAAACGGUUUAGAGCCACACUCUUUUGUCAGACAGUAGGAAUCUGGACUGACACUGGGCUGCCAGCUCUCAAGUUUAGAAGGGCCAGUUGAGGGGGCUGGAGAGAUGGCUCAGUGGUUAAGAGCACCGACUGCUCUUCCCGAGGUCCUGAGUUCAAAUCCCAGCAACCACAUGGUGGCUCACAACCAUCUGUAAUGAGAUCUGAUGCCCUCUUCUGGUGUCUGAAGACAGCUACAGUGUACAUAUAUAAAUAAAAUAAAUACUCAGCUCCAAAAUAAAUAAAUAAAAUAUUAGAAGGGCCAGUUGCAGGUGAGACGGUGACAGGUGACUUCCUUCCCUGUGGGGACCUGAGUCAGUCACUGGAGAAGACUGCCUGAGCCAGAUGCAGUGGCUAAAUGUGUACGUAGACCUUUCUGACAGGGGCAGAUAAGACUGCCCCUAGAUGCAAGCGUUGCAGAGGUAGAGAAAAGAAACUGGGCUUACUAGAAUAACUGCAGAACACUACAUGUUGGGGUGGUUCCUGGUUCCGACCAGCAGAUGCCAAUGGGAUGGGAAGCCUGGCAUUGCUCUCCACCUGCAGGGAGCUUCCGGGCAGAACUGCAGAGCUCGAACACCAUAGAAAGGUAGCACACCACUCAUUUGAUAACACUGUUGUUGUGUUCAGAGAUCAGGGAGGGAUCAGGUGUUCUUGGGACACCAAGGGAUACCAUUUGAUUCAACAUUACAAGCACGGUAUUUUGCGGCCGGAGAGACAGUUCAGCAGUUAAGAGCAUUGGCUGCUCCUGCAAAGGACCCGGGUCUUGAUCCCUGCACUCACAGGGCAGCUCACAACCAUUUGUAACUCUAGUUCCAGGGGAUCCAAAGCCCUCUUCUGGCCCGAGGGCACCAGGCAUACACAGGGUGCACAGACAUACAUACAUGCAGGCAAACACUCACAUACAUAAAAUACAAAUUCAAGAAUUUUUUAGAAAGUGUUUGUGUUCGGAGGCCGACUGGGCAGAAUCUCAGACCCAUCACUCAUUGGCUGUGAGAGCUUCAUCAAUGCAUCUAGUUUAAUAGAGCUCCUGGUGUACAAAUGAAAUAACCUCCGUCCUGGAGAGUUUCCGUAUGGACCAAGUGUGAAGUUUAUACUCCAGCAUCUGGCAGAUUGAGUGCUCCAUAAACCUUGAGAGGUGAACAGCAUUCAUUCAUGGAUGGAUGCAUGCAUAGGUGCAGGGAUGCAGGGAUAAAUAGGUGGGUGGAUGGAUGGAUGAUGGAUGGAUGAUGGAUGGAUAGAAGGAUGCAUGGGUGCAUGGAUGAAUAGAUAAAUGGAUGGAUGCAUGGAUGCAUGGAUGGAUACAUGAAUGGACACAUGCAUUCAUGUUGGUGGAUGCAUGGAUAGGUGGAUAGAUAUAGGAUGGAUGGAUGGAUGGAUGAUGGAUGGAUGAUGGAUGGAUGAUGGAUGGAUGAACAAGGGGGUAGAUAGGUGAACAUAUGUGUAGAUGAGGAAUGGAUAAGUGGGCUGAUAAAUAAAUGGAUAAAUAGAUGAGUGGAUAGAGUGACAUAAUGUAUAUAUAGAGAGACAAUUAUAAAUGAUAGGUGGAUACACCAGAUGGACAGAUGAACGUAUAUAACAUUUUUUUAGUCUGUUGUGUGGGUGUGUGCAUCACAUUUCACAGCAUGGGAAAGGAGGCCAGAGGACAACUUCCAAGAGUCACUUCUCUCAUUGUGGGUUCUGGGGAUUAGACUCAGGCCGUCAGGUUUGUGCACUGCACAUUGUACACGUAGUCCCCAGCCUUGACCUGGCUGGUAGCUGUGACUGCAUAGUCCUUGCACCCUCUCUAACCCCUGCGUGCAUCCCUUCACCACUCCUGGGGAUGCUUUUAAGGGCUUUCUCAUGUGCUCCUUCAUGGGACCUUCUCAAGAAGACCAGGAUGAGGCAGGAGAGAUGGCUCAGCGGUUAAGAGCACUUGACUGCUCUUCCAGAGGUCCUGAGUUCAGUUCCCAGCAACCACAUGGUGGCUCACAACCAUCUGUAAUGGGAUCUGAUGCCCUCUUCUGGGGUGUCUGAAGUGCACUCAUACACUGCACGAGGAGGAGGAGGAAGAGGAGGAGGAGGAGGAAGAAGAGGAAGAGGAAGAGGAGGAGGAAACGAUGACCAGGAAGUUCCUGUCCAAUUUUUUAAUUUUUCUUUCAUUUCAUGUGUGUGUGUUUGCCUGCAUGCAUGUAUGGAUGGAUGGAUGUAUAUCACAUGCAUGCCCAGAGCCUACAGGGAUCAGAAGAGAGUGCUGGGUCCCCAGAACUGGAAAGACAGAUGGCUGUAAGCCACCAUGUGUAUGUUGGGAAUCAAACCUGGGUCCUAUGCACGAGCAGUAAGUGCUCAGAACAGUUGACCCAAAUCUCUACUCCCCUGCCCAGUUUUCUAGUCAGUGUGUAAGUUUCCAGGUCUGUCCUGGUGUUUCUCUUCCUUGGCACCUCCCAUAAUCCUUCAAGUAGCCGGUACCCAAUGCUACCCUCUGAGCUAUGCCUGCCAUGUUCAUGCACUGGGAGCUUGUUCUACUCACUGCUGUGUUCUGACAGGAAGGCAUGAUGGCAGGGCGUUGGGAAAGGUAUAAACAGAACAGUAAGUCUGAGCAGCAUGAAGGAUGGGAGCCACCCUGGACGUCCCCUUCUACUUCCUAUGAUCUCCAUGUCCCCAUGCACCAGCCCUGGCAUUUCACAGUCUCACAGGCACAAAAGGAUGCCCUGUCACUUUGGUAAGGUACUGAAGGAAGGUGCCAGGCCUCAUGUCCAGGAUGGACAAGAUAGCUAGGAAGGAGGGCUGUGGGAAUCGGGGUACAACUAGGGAGGUGAGAAACAAGGACCCCACACAGGACAUGUAUGGGGACUCUCCCCUUGGCCUUCGGUUUGGGUAUAAGACAGAAGUGGGACCCUUCUUAGCCAGAGCUAAGCUGUUCAUGGCCGUUCCCUUUGCCACAGAGGCCCCUUCAGGCUGGAAACCUGAGGAGGUACAGAGAGUCAGGCCAAACUCUCAGAAUAGAAGCAUCGAGAGGCAGAAUGUCUUGCUUGCCAGUGGAACCUCGGCCUGGGAUGGGGCUCAGAGCCAGUCUGUGAAGCUCAAGAGAGGAUUCUCAGCCCAGUCCUGCCUGGCCACGGCCCAGUUCUAUACUCCUUUUCCCUAUCGGCAGGGCACAUACAAUACAGCUGGGGUGGGGAAACUGAGGCAGGGCCUGCCUUCCAGCGUUGGAGGCUUGCUCUCCCCACCAACCACACCAUCCCUGAUCACUAUUUUCCUCGCUUGACACAGCACAUGGGGGCUCCAGAUCCUCGUGUAUCAGGUUCCCUCAUAGCCCAGGAGAAGUUAUUUACCAGGAAGAAGUUUGCCUUGCUUCCCUAGCUGUGAAGAGCUGGGGUCAUGUGAUUUCAGGAGUCCAGCCUGAAAGUGGGGACCUGCAAUCAAGCAGGUCCCUACUCCUGGCCCCACCCCAGGACUCUCUCCUAAUCACCAGCGCCCCUGCCCCCUCACCAGUUUGAGGGCUCAGGCCCCCCGUGGGAGCUGCUGAAGAGACCAGGGAGCCACUGCUGUUGAUAGCGCGGGUGCCAGGCCCAUGACGCAGGCCUGAGGCCCAGGCACACAAUGGGGCUGUGUGUGCACCCAAUAUUACCCUGGAGCAAAGCUAGGCAGGCCAGCAUCUGGGCUCAGGCCAAGAAUUCAUUUCCCUGAAGAGAGCCUCCCACCCCUCCUGGGUAGCAGGGCUGGAGCAAGGGUUGCAAGGAUGGGCAAGCCAUCGGUCCAGGCAGGAGAAGGCAAACAGGCCACUAGAAACAGGGACUCCUGAGUCUAAUGGUUUGGGACCUCUUACAGGACAGGGACAGUGUAUUCCUGGGAUUGUAAUUUCUCUAGCAGUGAGAGAGGGCAGAGGGACACGAGAGUGGCCUGGCCCCACAUGUAAGACGUUUCUGCUCCCGCCACAGCCUGCCCAGGGGUGAACUCCAUUUGCACGGUGUCUGAGGCACCCAGGACUUCUGGCCAUACGGCCUAUACUGAUAGCCUUAGGGUGCCCCAGGAGAGAUGGUGGCACUCUCCCUGGGGGAAUGAGUCACCAGCCGGCUGUAGCCAGGAUGUUGGGCAGGUCACCGGCAGGUUCAGCUGCCUGCUCCCCUCCCUGAGAGGUCUCAAGGUAGAAAACCACUCAGAAGGUAUCAGGUGUUGACCACAACGUCCCAGACUGGACUUGGACCAGCUGCUUCCUCUGGGGCAGGAAUUGCUGGUGCCUGUGCUCUGGGGUUUGACACCUCCUGUGGCUGCAGGCUGAAGCACCACAGAUAGGGGUAUUAAACAGGUAGAGGCAACCAGCGCCCCCCCCCCCCCCCCCCCCGGAGCAAGCAGAGUUAGAGCAAGGAGUGGAAAUGGGCACAGGGGAAGGGAGGAAGUCAAGCCGGCACUUGCGGCUCUAACGGGGAGGGCCCUUUGCUGAAAUCACUUUCCAUUCUCCUGAGCCGGGGAAGCACCUGGGGACAGGAGCUUCCUGCCCUUGCUUCAUCUGGGGCUCCACAACAGGUUUCAGCGGAUCUCAUACAAACGUGCGGCCCCACAGGCUUCUGCCCACACUCCCCAAAGGUCACACACAAAGGUCACAGUGACGGCCUUAGCCCAUCAGACACAGAGAGAUGACUGCUCAUUUUCUGAUGGUCAAAGGCCUCCACCUCCCUAGUCAAGCAACAAGCAUAGUGACUGGCAUUCCUGUCAGCCUCACACAGUAUCAUGUCUCAGAACACGCUUAAUCCAUGUGUGUGUAUGGAUGUGUACAUGUUUAUAUGUGUGGAUGUGUAUAUAGGUGUGUGUGUGUUUGUGUGUACAGGUGUAUUUGUAUUUGUAUGUGUGUGUGAGUAUGUACAUAGGUGUAUGUAUAUUAGUGUGUGAAUGUCUAUGUAUAUGUGUACACAUGCAUAUGUGCGUGUCAUGUAUAUGUGUGUUUGCAUGUAGAUGCAUGUGUUUGUGUGUACGUGUGUGUAUGUGUGGAUAGGUAUAUGUGUGUUUGUGUGUAUAGGGGUGUGUGUGUGUGUGUGUGUGUGUGCGCGCGCGCAAGAGCAUGUGGAUUUGCACAAUGCCCAUCUUCACCAUGACAGUUUGCUCCUAUGCCCCAAGAACGAGAGUGAGGCCCUUAAUUUACUCUCACAGAUGAAUAAACUGAAGGCUGGGGAAGAGCCUACGUUCAGGGUUAUGAUGGAGUCUGGAAGCCAUGGCUGCGGUGGCAUGAGGCUAGCUCAACAGAACAGAAGACAGGAAAUCAGAAGAAGGACAAAAGGAAAAGGGAGGUGGGAAGAAAGUCACGGUCCAGUCCCAGUUUUCUGGGUCGUCGUGCUGAGGCAGAGGCCUUUUCGCAGCCGAUGUGGUGUGUGGGGCUCUGCCCUGCUGCAGAGGCCUCCGUGCUCAGGAUCAUUCCUCCUGGGAGCGCCAGCCCCGGGACGACUGCUGUCUAUCUUCAAGGUUCCUCAGUGUGGAGAAGCAGCCAUACAGGUUCAAAGCUCUACCCCAGAUCAACUCAGUUGUGCCCUACACUCUGAGGGACACACAGUACCAAGGAGUCUGUGCUGUCUACACCCUCUGGGGUCAUCAACCAGAGCAGGGCAGAAAUCAUCAGAGGAUAAGGACCAUGAGCAAACAACUACUAGAGAACCCCAGGCCAGCCGCAGCGGCAGGACCCCCAAACACAUGGACCCCUUAGGCUAAGGCAAGGGAGGGGAGAAGGGAGGAUCUACUCUACCCUAGACAACCCGGGGGGACCUCCCGCACUCUCAAGACCAUAGCUUUGGGAAGUAUGGAGGUGGGGUGUAUAAAGAUAUCAAGAUAACAGUGUACAUGUAUGAAAACUUCCACAGAACAGUAAUAUAUACUCUAAGAAAUAACUUGAUAUCGAUGCGUUUAUCUUAAAGACCUCGGCUUUCCCUGGCUCCUCAUCUAAUAGCUGGCCAGAGGAAAUGGUAGCAGGUAUUCCAGAGAGCACAGGGCUGGCUGCAGCCCCUGGCUCCAAAUGCCAGCCUGUUCUCCACAACUCCAAAGCACAAGGGAGGGGACACAGGCACCUCCCCGGCAGCCCCCAUCACUUCAGCCCCAUGCACCCCCAUGCCCUGCGGCCAGGUAUUACAAUCUGAUCCAGCAUAUAUGGCAAGGGACAAGGCCAGCCUUGGGUAAUAAGCCCGACUCCAACCCACCUUCAUGUUCUCAACCCCACACGGCUGCUGUGUCAAAGUCACCGCUGCCACUGUGCCUGGUACACACUGAUUCUUCUGAACCCCAUCCCAAGAGUCAUCCGACGACGGAGAGAAAAGCCGAGAAGCCCUCUGUCUCAGCCUCUUCCCGGAGCCCUGAAUCACCCACCCACCCCCAUUAGCUAACGCCUCCUCCUUCAGCUGCCUCAUUUCAUCCUGGCCUGCUCCCCUUUUCUGAGACCCUUGUCUGCAGGGGAUCAAAGGCCAAAUGAACCUCCUGAUGGCUACCUUGGGAAGCCUAUGCUGUGACCUGUGCUUUGUGACCAGUGGCAACGCCCACAUCGCCGCACACUGUCCCCAUGCACAGGACUGGAGCAGGAUGAGAGGGCAAGAGAGGGCAACCCAGGAGCACUAACAAGGCACCUGCUACACAACCAGCUUCAAGUCACGACAGGUGCAUGACUUAAGAGCUCGCCUCAGCUCUCCUCCAGGCCUCAGAAGCAUCCACAGGGGUCGCCCUGCACCACACGUUGGCAACAUUUGAAGCGAAAGCUAAAAAUAGACCCCAUGAUGAGUCACAACUAAGAAUAAAUAGGCAGACAGCCCUCCAGGAGAGGACACUCUGCCGGGGGAGCACCACCUCCUGCCAUCCUCCGGCCCUUCGCUGAGCCCCACAUCGCACACAGACAGCCUUCACAGCGAGCCCUGCUUCAGCACCUGCACAGCCAGGCAAGGCACAGCACAGCUCAUCCUCCAGCGACCCCACAUGAAAGACAGGGAAAACGGCAUGUGAGAGCUGCAGAGAGGCCCACUGCACGGGUAAACUAAGGCACCAAGACACAUCUCUUCCCUGCCCUAACACUGGUUCUCAUCAGGGCAUGGAAAAGAAAGCCAUUGCCCCCAGCUGGUACAUCGGCUCACCUGUGAAAUGGGUAUCCGGAGCCAGCCAGACCAACUCUCUGCAGAGUCAUCAGCAGGCAGAGAGACCAGAGAGGGGCAGGAGCAUACUAGAGGACUGAGGUCACACAGCAGUCAAUCCAGAAAAGUCUCAACC